rnacentral:rRNA from 1 species
AACUAACGCUGGCGGCGUGCCUAACACAUGCAAGUCGUACGAGAAAGCCGGCUUCGGCUGGUGAGUAAAGUGGCGCACGGGUGAGUAACGCGUGGAUAAUCUGCCCUUAAGUGUGGAAUAACGUACCGAAAGGUGCGCUAAUACCGCAUAAUGCCUGGCAACACAAGUUGUCCGGCCAAAGAAGGCCUCUGUUUACAAGCUUUCGCUUCAGGAUGAGUCCGCGUACCAUUAGCUUGUUGGUGGGGUAAAGGCCUACCAAGGCGACGAUCGAUAGCUGGUCUGAGAGGAUGAUCAGCCACACUGGGACUGAGACACGGCCCAGACUCCUACGGGAGGCAGCAGUGGGGAAUAUUGGACAAUGGGCGCAAGCCUGAUCCAGCAAUGCCGCGUGUGUGAAGAAGGUCUUCGGAUUGUAAAGCACUUUCGACGGGGACGAUGAUGACGGUACCCGUAGAAGAAGCCCCGGCUAACUUCGUGCCAGCAGCCGCGGU